CGCAAAGGGUGUUACUUUCCUCCCAGCAGUGGUCGAAUCAGACAAGCUGAAGAGAAAGAAGUCAAAACCUCAACGCAUUUUCGUUAUAUCUAUUUUAAAUAUCAACCACUUUUAUUAGCCCCCUUCUUUUCCCGUCAACCUUUUUGGCCAAACAACGAGCAGCAACAGCCGCGAAGUGUGAUGGGGGCGUUUAUAUGAGAUGGAGGCGAGAGAGACUCCACCAUUUUCACCAUGACAUCAAGAUACCGCAGAUUUCUGCCAAAAAUGCCUGGUUAUAGGGUACGCGGCGGAUUUCAUUUGAGAACGGUUUUUACCGUUCCUCUUUCCCCCCUGUCCUUUGUUUAUUUUUGGAACAUGCAGGAAAAGCCACCAUGACCAACCACUAUAAGCCGGAACUUUACGAAGUAGUUUUAACUGGACCUAUUAUGUUCCCGCCCGAGACAGCUUUGAAACGGCUGGAGGGCGCGUCAAGUUAGCUCAACUGGCUGACUGGCUGGCAGUUUCGAAACGUCUGGAGGCUAGGCUAGCCAAGCUUCCCAGCUUCUAUGUGAUCGGCGCAAGGAGGAAAAAAAAAAAAAAAAAAAAAAGAAACGAAGAGAGAAGG
rnacentral:sRNA from 1 species